rnacentral:rRNA from 1 species
GAUGUACGCUGGCGGCGUGCCUAAUACAUGCGAGUCGAGCGAACGGACGAGAAGCUUGCUUUUCUGAUGUUAGCGGCGGACGGGUGAGUAACACGUGGAUAACCUACCCAUAAGACUGGGAUAACUUCGGGAAACCGGAGCUAAUACCGGAUAAUAUUUUGAACCGCAUGGUUCAAAAGUGAAAGACGGUCUUGCUGUCACUUAUAGAUGGAUCCGCGCUGCAUUAGCUAGUUGGUAAGGUAACGGCUUACCAAGGCAACGAUGCAUAGCCGACCUGAGAGGGUGAUCGGCCACACUGGAACUGAGACACGGUCCAGACUCCUACGGGAGGCAGCAGUAGGGAAUCUUCCGCAAUGGGCGAAAGCCUGACGGAGCAACGCCGCGUGAGUGGUGAAGGUCUUCGGAUCGUAAAACUCUGUUAUUAGGGAAGAACAUAUGUGUAAGUAACUGUGCACAUCUUGACGGUACCUAAUCAGAAAGCCACGGCUAACUACGUG